AAUGCCGUGAUUUGUAAUCAGGUGUGGGUUUCGAGGAUAAGCAAGCAUCCUGGAGUUGGGAAUGCCGUGAUUUGUAAUCCAGCGGGGAUUUAGGGGAUAAACAAACAUCCUGGAACUGGGAAUGUCAUGAUUUGGAAUCAGGUGUGGUUUUAGGGGAUAACCAGAGAUCCCGGAGCUGGGAAUGUCAUGAUUUGUAAUCAGGUGUGGAUUUAGGGGACACCAGCAGGCUGCUGGGGAGCCGCCGGCCGGGCUACG